rnacentral:rRNA from 1 species
CUAAGCCAUGCGAGUCGAGAGGUGUAAGACCUCGGCUGACGGCUCAGUAACACGCGGAUAAUCUGCCCUCGAGCGGGGGAUAAUCUCGGGAAACUGAGAAUAAUACCCCAUAGGCCCGGGAAGCUGGAAUGCUCCCAGGCUGAAAUUUCCGGAGCUCGAGGAUGAGUCUGCGGCCUAUCAGGCUGUAGUGGGUGUAACGGACCCACUAACCUUCGACGGGUACGGGCCUUGAGAGAGGUUGCCCGGAGAUGGAUUCUGAGACACGAAUCCAGGUCCUACGGGGCGCAGCAGGCACGAAAACUUCGCAAUGUGGGAAACCACGACGAGGGAAUCCCAAGUGCCAACGAUUUUUCGUUGGCUGUUGCCCUGUCUAAAAAACAGGGAGAGUAAGGGCUGGGUAAGACGGGUGCCAGCCGCCGCGGUAAUACCCGCGGCCCAAGUGGUGCUCGUUAUUAUUGGGUUUAAAACGUCCGUAGCCGGUCCGGUAAAUUCUUGGGUAAAUCGACUGGCCUAACCAGUCGAAUUCCGGGGAGACUGCCGGACUCGGGACCGGGGGAGGUCGGAGGUACUUCCAGGGUAGGGGUGAAAUCCUGUAAUCCUGGGGGGACCACCAGUGGCGAAGGCGUCCGACCAGAACGGCUCCGACGGUAAGGGACGAAGCCCUGGGGCGCAAACGGGAUUAGAUACCCCGGUAGUCCAGGGUGUAAACGCUGCGGGCUUGGUGUCGGGGGUCCUAUGAGGGCGCUCGGUGCCGGAGUGAAAAUGUUAAGCCUGCUACCUGGGGAGUACGGUCGCAAGACUGAAACUUAAAGGAAUUGGCGGGGGAGCACCGCAACGGGUGGAGCGUGCGGUUUAAUUGGAUUCAACGCCGUAAAACUCACCGGGGGCGACGGUUAUAUGAAGGCCAAGCUGAUGACUUUGCCCAAUUUUCCGAGAGGAGGUGCAUGRCCAUUGUAUCGCU